UGAGGUACUGGAAGGUCCUCAGGCCGAAAGGGGCUCUGCCCGCCCGAGGAUGGGCCGGCGGCCGAUUAGGUAGUUGGUGGGGUAACGGCCCACCAAGCCGAAGAUCGGUACGGGCCAUGAGAGUGGGAGCCCGGAGAUGGACACUGAGACACGGGUCCAGGCCCUACGGGGCGCAGCAGGCGCGAAACCUCCGCAAUGCUCGAAAGAGCGACGGGGGGACCCCAAGUGCCGUGGUACAACCACGGCUUUUCCGGAGUGUAAGAAGCUCCGGGAAUAAGGGCUGGGCAAGGCCGGUGGCAGCCGCCGCGGUAAUACCGGCGGCCCGAGUGGUGGCCACUAUUAUUGGGCCUAAAGCGUCCGUAGCCGGGCUUGUAAGUCCCUGGCGAAAUCCCACGGCUCAACCGUGGGGCUUGCUGGGGAUACUGCAAGCCUUGGGACCGGGAGAGGCCGGGGGUACUCCUGGGGUAGGGGUGAAAUCCUAUAAUCCCAGGAGGACCGCCAGUGGCGAAGGCGCCCGGCUGGAACGGGUCCGACGGUGAGGGACGAAGGCCAGGGGAGCAAACCGGAUUAGAUACCCGGGUAGUCCUGGCUGUAAAGGAUGCGGGCUAGGUGUUGCUUGGACCUCGAGUCCAAGCAGUGCCGCAGGGAAGCCGCU
rnacentral:rRNA from 1 species